ACGGGGAGCAGCAGGCGCGAAACCUUUACACUGCACGCCAGUGCGAUAAGGGAAUCCCAAGUGCGCAGGCAUAGAGCCUGCGCUUUUGUACACCGUAGGGAGGUGUAUGAAUAAGGGCUGGGCAAGACCGGUGCCAGCCGCCGCGGUAAUACCGGCAGCCCGAGUGAUGGCCGAUCUUAUUGGGCCUAAAGCGUCCGUAGCUGGCCGCACAAGUCCAUCGGAAAAUCCACCCGCCCAACGGGUGGGCGUCCGGUGGAAACUGUGUGGCUUGGGACCGGAAGGCGCGACGGGUACGUCCGGGGUAGGAGUGACAUCCCGUAAUCCUGGACGGACCGCCGAUGGCGAAAGCACGUCGCGAGGACGGAUCCGACAGUGAGGGACGAAAGCCAGGGUCUCGAACCGGAUUAGAUACCCGGGUAGUCCUGGCCGUAAACAAUGCCUACUAGGUGUGGCUCCCGCUACGAGCGGGUGCUGUGCCGUAGGGAAGCCGCUAAGCAGGCCGCCUGGGAAGUACGUCCGCAAGGAUGAAACUUAAAGGAAUUGGCGGGGGAGCAC
rnacentral:rRNA from 1 species